GUGGUAGACUGAAACGUCGUGGUUGGAAACGACGUUUCGUAACGUCGCGAUUCCGUGCUACUUCAUUAAUAGCGGCAAUUAUAUCCGUCGGCUGCCGGAGAGAAUAUCCGGAAUUCUCUGACCGUGCGCGGUGACGAACGACGACGUCGACAAUGACGCAACAACUUGGAGAUGCACGUGGAGAUGACUUCGAUCCGGCGCGGGCUGCCCUUUUCGUUUCCCGGUGGGGAUUGCGUGCGUAAUGCCCGACGUACAUAACGUCGAGGAUAUUAAGGAUUCUCCUUGCCUCCCCCGAGAUCUCCCUUCGUUCUUUCCUUCCUUUUCCGAGCACGUCGAAUUAGAGAAAUUGGUUGUUGAAUACAAACUACAUAGGAUCGUAUGAUUAAUCUUGGCACGUUUCACUCUUCUGGCGUAUGUUCUGACGUACCCAGCACCUGGAGAUUUAUUGCGAUUCUGGGAAAAACCACAGCUCGCCCAUUGGUCUUCAAUCAAUCUUAAGCAAAGCUGCAAAAGCAAUCGAUAAACCGCCAAGUGUUGGCUCUUAACGUUGGUCUGUGGAACCGCAUAUAUUUUUUUUCAUUUUCAUAUUUAGUAUCGUCGAAUGUUAUUUAUGAUCACUUAUUUAAUUUCGAAAUCAAUUUCAAGAUGUCUUUCGAGCGACAAUGUUUUCGCAUUUUGUGUGUAUGUGUGUGUGUGUGUGUGUGCGCGCGUAGAGUAUAUACGUCAAAUAUAGACAGCGAUGACAUCACCGAGUAAAAGAGUUAACAACGUCCUAUUGUUUAUUAUCUCGUAAAUUUCAGUCGAGCAAAUCACUCGGAAGUUUAUUAUUCAAUUCUGAAGAUUUUAUUUCCAAAGUAAAAUUAUCCACCAUAAAAAUCUAAGGAUCUCUCUACUCGUGAUUGAAUAUUCAGCUUCGAGACACCUUCCAAUAAAAUUCGCGUAAUAAACAUUCGUGUCUUAAAGUAUCAAAAAUUAUUCAGCAAAGAGUAAAGCAGAGAAGCAAGUAUAAAGGCCACACGAUUUUUUUGUGUGAAUACAUACAUAUUUUUCUAAUUAUCGCGAGAAAAAAAUAGUUCACUAUAAAAAAAAUAUCACUAUAAUUUACAGUCAUUUUUAGGCCCAAAGAUAUUGUUAUAGUUAUUCAAUAUAAAUUAUAGUUUGUUUAAACUAUAUUAAAGUUUACAUAAUCAUAAUAUUGGUCUAUGCAACUUAUGAUGUGGUUGUCAUAAGUAAAAGGAGAAUUUAAUUAUGGUAAGUUGUACUAUAAAACAAUCACUAUGACUGGUAUUUAUAGUUGAAUCUUACUUCAAGAUCUCAAGGUCUCAAGUAAUGUCUUAAGAUGCUAAUAAGACUCUAUAAUUGAAUGUCGAAGACGAUACUUAAAAUGGUCUUAAAUACAAGAUUCGACCAUGAAUACCGAUCUAUAGGCAUCGCCACAACCAUUAAUAAUUACUAUAAAAAUGACAUUCCUGACUGUAACUAUUUUACUUAUACAACUACAGUCACAAAAAUAUCACACAUUUUUCUCAGUGCAUUCUUUCAUUUCACCUCUUUAUUUCCUACAUACUUUUUUUUUCUACGCCUACGGUUUUCAUUUUUCUCAUGGUGCGUGCAAGUAAGAUCUGAGCGCGUAGCGCUCAACUGCCGUGCUCGAGAUCCACGCGAGGCGUCCUUCAUCGACCUUACUGCCCACCACGCCGUCCGCUCGCGCUCGUGCGUUCACUUUCACGUUCGGCUGCGCGCGCGCACGUGCGUGAGGCGAUUCACUUGACCGGCGAUCCCAUCUCGCGAGCAGUCACGCCACGAGCGCAGAGGCUCGCGUCGAAAAUCUCCGCUGAGAUUUUGCGCGAGACGUAAAAAUGAGCAGCCAGUCAAAUACCCGCCGGAUCGACGACGAUCGAAAAUCCACGGUCUCUUUUCCUCCCUCAAUAAAAUGUAAGAAAUAAAGGAAUCAAUUGUUUAGAAAAUAAUUUCAGAUCCGCCUGAAUCUUCUCGGAAAACUCGCGCUUAUUCCCUUCUUCCACGCGGAUGGAAGGCGCGACCGGGUUUCAGCGGCUCGCGUCAUCGCGCGUCUUGACGUCACCGACUCCCGACGUCGUCGAGAAGACGCCGUGAAUUCACCGAAAUCGAACCCUCUCGCCCGCGAAGAUUCUCGUUUUAACUCCGCCGAGUGUGGAAUUGGAGCGCGGAUGCGCGUGUAAACGCGCGCGUGGGGUACAAAGUCCGGGGCUGCCGGGUCUAGGUCUCCCAAAGAGGUGAACUAGAAUCCCAGACGCGCCGCGCGCGGAGUCGUAUUACGAACGCAUCUCGCGUGUCCUUCGACGACCUUUUUGCAACGCCAUAGCCGGCGUGUACGCAUCGAUGCGUUACCAUUCACUUUCACGUCGUCGCGGAGCACGAAACGCACGUGCGCUCUCGCGAGGGCGUGGGCACGCAGGUAGAUAUGCCAUCUCCCCUCCCCCCCCCCCCUCUCCCUCUCUCUUUCUCUUUGUCGUUUUCUCUCCUCUUGCCUGCAUUCCUACGCACAGGCAUAAACAAACGUCGACAGUGGUAAAACGCAGGAACGCAUUCGCCACGCCGCUGCCGGUUAAUCGCCGCUGCUGUUAUACGUUUAUCAUCUUAAUAACACAUUCUCCUCUACGCUCCUCUACGCUAAUAGUUUAGCACCGUGAGUCGCUAACCAUACGUUAUUUAUAUGGCUCGUAUCGCGCUACCUGUGUUGCGUCGGACGAAGUGCAGGAUGAUUCCCGAGAUUGCGAGAUUUUAGGAUUUCACGUGCAAAAGGGACGAUCCUUUUGAUGAUAAAUUUGGACGACACAGAAAGCGCAAAAUACUCUAGCAUAAAUUUCUGGUAAACACAAUCGUUACGAAAUUAAUUUACUUAAUUAUAAAUUGUGGAAAAUUAUUAUUCAAAAAAUUUGUCCGAGAGGGUUUGUUUCGUGCGUGAAAUCGCGGUUAACCUUCGUAUCCUCUGUUUUUAACAGAUUCGCGCGGUUCCGUCAUCCUUGAUGGGGCCAUGUUAUUCAGGAAAUGAUGGACCGUGGUGUACGUGUGAGAGCGAACGACGCAGAUGGCCGGCGACGACACAUGAAUAAUGAGAACGUUGUGCACGCACGUCGUCACGGCGAUUACGCGUCGUCGUCGUCGUCGUCGUCGGCGGAACCAUCUGAAAACGCGGGCAUUCGUUCUCUCCUUGUCGCUCAGGUGUGUGGGAGACACACAAAUCCGAUGGACCGAUCGAUCGUGUAUAGCCGGCGGCAAAUAAAAUACGUUCCUGCAAAUGGAAAGUGAUGAUGCGUAAAUACGCGCCGCCGCGUGCACGCGCACGUGCGCGUAACGAGCGGACGGCAAACGGAAAAGACGCACUUAUCACUUGUCACACUUUAUUCGCGAUUGAGUGUACAGUGACGGGCUCGAGGCACUUCGAAUCACUUCGAUAUAUGAAGCGAAUUUCUCUCUCUCUCGUAACGAAAGAUGCCUCUUUCGACUUAAGACAUUUUGAUCUAUUUUUUUCUUCGAAGAUCUAUUUUUUUUUCUUUUUUUUUUAACACCAUUGCAUUGUGUCAAUCUACUCUUCUUUAAGCGUGACGACGUAUGUUGUAAGUGAUAUGAGUUUAUCACAUUUUUAAUCAUUUCAAAUAUAUAAAAAAAUUAUUUAAGAAGAAAGUACUUUUGGAAAAACGUUUCUUUCACAUUUUAUAUUAUGAUUUCAAUUUAUUCUAUAUUUUACAAACAGACAUAAAGGCCAAUUUUACUUUUGAGAGUUUUAUGAAAUAUUCAAGCUUUCUCAAAAAAUAUUCAAGACGUUUGUUUAAAAAUAUUCUAAAAAUGUUCGAGUUUUUAAAAAAUAACUUAAAAUUGUUUGAAUAAAAAUUCAAACAGAACGAUUUUAUAACUAAUCAAGUCACCAGUAAAUAUCUCAUAAAACGUUCGGAAUAAACUUCUCUCAAAAUUCCAAAAAUCAUAAGAGACCGUCCAGUUCGUUACUAGGAAACAGUUGUGCGAUUUCCAAUGUCAGAGCUACCCCGAUAGUUCAAAAUCUGAAUUCGAGACUUUCUUAGAACUCACAAGAAUUAAUCGAACUUCCAUCCUUCGAUAGUCGCGCACGGAAAUCAAUUAGCUUUUAACCGCUUACAAUAUAACGCUGUUUAUCGGCAAGUUUUGCAAGGUUUAGUCUGUCCAAACACAUCUUGUGUAUAGAUUCAGCGAGCAGACUAAACCGCCGUGAAACACAAUAUGGCGAUUGAUGGCCUGGCUGAUAGGUAUAUAACGCCUCAUCUCCGAUGACGCAAGAAUGUGAAUGAUGAUUUAUACCUCGCAGCACCUACGAACGACGACGGAUCGCCGGGGGUUCCGGCGGGGGUUCCCGGUUGACCCGCGCGCGCGCGCGCGCGAGUGUGCCUCGUCCUCGCUGGCGAAUGGCGACGCACGACAAUCGCGUUCGCUCCAUGCAUGUUUUGCAAUCGGUAACGCGCGCCUCUCCGUCCUCGAUGCUCAAUUGACACGGUUGACAGCUGCGGAACAGAUGCGCCCCAGUGCAUUCGGGCACCAGCCUUCUCUCUCUCCCGUCCGCGUCUCUCGCCGCCACCCGAAUCUUCCGAGUAAAAUAGAGCGAUCCCGAUCUACUAAGUUAUUUUCGGCCGGGCCGGCCCCCGAAGGUCGUCGCCUUGAAUGGCCACUACCUUCGAAUCGGCGUAAUCCGCGAAAUCGUGGCCUACGGCCAUCUACGGGGCGAGGCAUCAUCACCUCGAGCCUCGGCGAGACGAGGGUAAUCUCGCGCUGCUGUCACGUCGAGACGAAACGACACGUCAUCCGCGUCCUUCGUAAUCAUGUAAAUGAUUCCCGCGAAACAUGAGAAUAUAUAUUUUCGGACUGUCUAGUCUCCUUCUCUCUCUCUCUCUCUCUCCCUCUCCAUUCCAUCUGAAUGUUCCGUGAAUUAAAGGCAAUCCGAGUCUUGUGUGGAUCUGACAGCACGGUAAUUUGCAACCUGUUGCUGAUCGAUGGCCGAACGCGUAAUGCCACGUAAUGAGCCUUCAUUUUGCACUAUUGUGCGGAUCACUAUUAAAUCGCGAAUAGUACAUCAUAAUAAUAGAUAUUAAUUCAACGUGCAAAGAGAAUGAAAUGCUUCGCGGUCCAUUCGCAGUUGCAAUCACGAGCAAAUUAUUAAUCUCAAUUAAAUGUUCUUCGCUGAUGGCUCUUUAAAGAGGCUUGUAAAGGUGCAACGUGGACUUUUAUGAAAUAAAAAUCUAUCGCGCAAGAGGAAUGGAAAAAGUGAAAUUUGAUCCGCUCGGGGUUCAUUUCUCUCAUCGCGAUAUCGUCGCGAUAUCAUCACGUUGAACGCUCAUUAAAGAAUUAAGAAUCCAUCCUUUCUUUCGAACUUUCUAGCGGAUACGCGUGCGUUGCGUGCGCGCCAAUCUUUCGGACGCGUUUGUUACUCUCGUUGCAAAACGUCGAAUCGCCGCGCAUUGCUGUCCGCCAGCCGAGCGGGCAGGCAGACAGGUAUUUCGAAAAGUCGAGAAAAGGCAGGUUACUCGUAUCGGCAUCGAUCAACGCGCGGCGCGUGUUCUCGCAUAUGUUCACGCUCUUUCGCGUUACGCAAGUCACGCGUGGCCAAAAGUCCUCGCGAAAUCCCGCGUACGUCCACCCGACCACGCGCGGCGCGCGUGUAGUUGCGAAAGGUCAAGGAUACACGGUGACACAAUAAUAACGUUCGCAAUCGUCCUUUACAAUGUGCUGAAAAAAUGUACCCCAUUGUGCGAAGGCGCGCGGCUUCGAAAUAUAAAUAUAAAAAGACACACUGCAAAACAUAUCCUCUUUAUAUAUAAAGGACAUGUAUAUUUUGUAACGGAAUAUACCAUAUUAGAACGGAUUUUUUACGUGUCCAUUUUAUUUAAGCGUGACUGGCGCAAUUCUUAAUGUGACAUGUUAUUUAUAUAGAUCAAUAUCCUUUAUAUAAAUAGGACUGGAAAUAAUCAUUAUAAAACAGACGUUAAACCGGACAUUAUAAAGGAUGUGGUCCGCCAUAUAUAUUAAAGCGGACGAAAUAAACAAAACGCAACGCAAUAUGGCGCGAGCGGUAGCGAUAGCCGUAUCGUUCACUCACAACAGUGUUAACUUGUUACUCUAACGGCCGUCCUCUUCCCAAUUAUAAUAAAUAUUUUUAUUACUAAUUGUUGGUGUUAAUAAUGGGUGUCGAUCGACGCGGUAACCAUCGCGGUAAAUGUACGGCGUGUGAUUGCGACGAAUUUGAGUUGCCUCAGGCGGAUGAUAACACAAAUGUGUGCUCUUUUUGCGGGCAUUAUUCGCCUUUACAUGAGCGUGUGGAAAUAAUUAAAGAAGCUCAUACGCACGAAAUUACAAUGCCUACAAUAGUGGCAAUAGAAAAUUUGACUGACUCAGUACGCAAUGAAGUGAUCGAAGUAAUGGAAGUAAUCAAUCCCAAUGAAGAUCCAGACUCUCAACAAACUCUGCAAUCUGCCAACAAUGUAGAGCAACAGGAUAAUGAUAUAAUUGUAGCUGAGGAAAAUAAUUGGCUUGAUAAUAAUAAAACCCAGUUAUUACCUAGCUUUAGUUCAUAUGUAAUGCCUUUUUUGGAAGGGCAAGCUAUGAGUCCCAAAAAAAAAAAAAAAUUAUGCUCUCAGUUAAAAGACGAAAUAAUAGACCAUUUGGACAGGCACAACUUGAUUCCUCACAACAUAAAUCAUAUGAAAAAACGUUGGCAAUAUCGUGAUCUAGGAGAAGCUCUUGUAACAAACUUUCCUUCAAUCCAUAUAGAACAGUCACCCAAAUUUAAAACUAAAUGUGGACAUUUCGUACAUCAAAUUGCUGAUAUUAGACGUCACAGAAACAACCGUCGAGAAUGUAUGCAGCAGAUGCAUAAUCCUUUGCAGUUGCAAAAAAAAACAAACAAAAAGGGUAAACUUAUACAAGUAAUAACUCCAGAAGAGGCUUACAAGAAACUUCAGGAUUCAGCAGAAGAUGAAUUGUCGACAACCACAAUUGUUGAAUUACUUCAGCAAUCAUUUCAAGUUCGACCUCACGUUGGAAAUGUGUGGCCUUACUAUCUUUCACGAAAAGAAUGUUUUGUCCAAGAAGCUGAAUUAAGGAUGAAAACAUCUAUUGAAAGUGUUAUUAAUACUAUAAACACAAUGUAUAAAAAGACAGCGGAGAAAGGAAUUAACAACAUUCUGCAGCUACAAAAAUUUGUAACUUUACGAGGGACAAAAGACUUUUUUCUUGAACAGAAAGUUCCAACGUUUGAUGAUCUACUAUUACCUUCUCCUGGACCAAAAGUUUUUUACAAUGAUGCUACUGCCUGGCUUGUGAUCAGUGAGAUUGAUCAACUAAAAAUUGAUGUUACAUCUGCGGAAGAAGCAGCCGCUUUAGGAUUUGCCAUUUACUUUAUGAAGGAUCUGACUUAUCCAUCAUCUUUUAGCCAAUUGCUUGGUUUAAUUGAUGCUUUGUGCCUCGGUAACAACAACGAAUUUUUAUGCAAGCGAGCUAAAGAAAUUUUGUCUCAUUGUACUUUGUAAAAAUGUUAAGAAUUUCUUUUAUUAUUAUUUACAUUUUUAUCUUUGUUUGGGAUUUUGUACUUGUUCCUUCUUUUUUCUCUUAUAUAUAUUAUAUAUCAAACAAACUAAUAUAAUACAUUUAUUAUGGAUAAAGGUUUUAUUUUUUUGUAUACAAACUAUAUAGUUUGUUCAUUCAUAUUUUCUGGUCACAUAUAUAUAUAAUGUUUUAUAUAUAUAUAUAUAUAAGUAUAUAUAUAUAUGUAUAUAUGUAUAUAUUUUAUAAGUAUAUAUGUAAUAAUGUAUAAUGUAUAUUUGAAUGUAAUAAAAUAUUGUCUUCCAGAUGAUAUGUUCUUUUCUGUAUCCGGAAAAGAAUACUAAAUUUCCGUUCUAUUUAUAAAGGACAUUAGUCCGUUCUAUUUAUAAAGGACACUAGUCCGUUUUAUUUAUAAAGGACAUUAUUAUAGACAAUGUCCUACGUAUAUAAUUCCGUUUUAAUUUCACGCUUAUUUAAAGUGGAAAAAAAGUCACUUUUUUCCGUUAUAGUUUCGCGGAAUUUAGAGUGGAUAUGUUUUGCAGUGCACGUACCAAGCUUUCUUGCACGUGUGAUUACAUAAAGUACAUGGAGAAAAUAUUGUGGCAAAAAGUGUACAGCGAAGUUUCUGUUACAUCGGUCUCUGUACUGGUAUUGCAUGACAAAUACUACGAUCUAGUUAUCAUUCGAAAAUUAUUCAAAAAUAGUAUGUAAAUUUGACGUUUCCUAUAAAAAUUACAUCGCGAAAAAUAUUAAUAUAACCAAUUUUUAUUAAAAUAAGACGUUUUAUAGUCUGAUUGUGAAUGCUGCCUUUAUAUAAGUAAGUUGAAUACGUUUUAUACGUAUUUCUAUACUUAUAAUAAAGAAUUAUAAUAUAACAUUUUGUAACUUUUUGCACAUAGUGAAAAAACUGAUGUAUUUUAAGCGCUUUUACAUAUAUUAUUUUGUAAUUUAAAUUGUAAUUUUUAUUUGUGUGAUUGCUAAAAAUAUGCAUGCGAUUGAUGGUCGACUUUUAUAUGGUAAUAAAUACCACAGCGUCGUUAUGUUUAAGCCGUGAAACAAAGCUUUGUUGUAAAAAAAAAAUUAUAAUUUACAGUACAAUAUCUUCUCCGUAGAAAUUAUAUUUCGGGUUCAUUGCAAGUUUAUAGUCUUUCUUUCUCCUUUUGUAAUAAAAAGUAACAUCUGCCCCUGUUGAAAUAAAAAAUUUAACGUAAGACAAUAUAUGUAACUUUCAACCGUAGAUGAGACGGAUAUAGAAUUAUCGGAUGAAAAGGAAAGACGAAUCCAUCACAAUCGUUCUCGCCUCGCGAUGUUGUUUUGUUCAAAGUGCAGUCGCACUCUAACGGAGACAGAAAAUAAUAUAGAGCACGUCUUGCGAUUCAUUUUUUCUGUUUUCUUUGCCCCAAUUAAUUUCACUAUUUAUGUUAUUUCAUUAUUUUGUGCAUAAAAAUAUUAAAGCAAAACAAUUAUCAAAAAAAUGAAUAUUGAAACAUGCUAAAAUAAGUAUUAAAAAUUUCGUGAAAUAUUUCUUUUUCAGACGCAAACAUCCUCCCCCUUCUAAUACUUUUAUACACGUAAUGUGUACGUGUGUUGUAUUCAGAAGAAACUAUUUGCCAAAAAAUAUAUGUAUGAAUCCAUUAAAGAAAAAAAAAGUAAUUGUAUUUUUUCAGUGCCUGGCUUACGAAAAAAGUCAACAAGAAAUUAGAUUAUACAUUGCUAUGCAAUUCAAGUCUUGUCCGUAACAUUUCUUUCCAUCUUCAAUGGAACGGGUAUUAGCGCCCGUCCCAGUUACACGACGCACCCUGUAUACUCGUGUAUACCGGGUUGUUGUGCAAAAAUACUAACCCGUAUCCAGGCCGAGCGCGUGUCAUGCAACGUGACUUCUGGCUCGCCGCGCUGCUUCGUGCGAACGAGCGUAUUAUAUUAUUAUUAUGUACACUUUCCGCGCACCGACGCGAUGGUCGCUCGAUUCGCGAAUUAUCGAAGACAUCGAACAACACGAAAACAUAUAUUGAUAAUAUAAUCAGAUAAUAGGACAGUCAAUUGUGUAAAUAUAAUAAUCGAUCUGUAAUUAUUAAUAUACAGAAUAUCUAAACCGAAUCGAGCCCAGCACUAAAUAGCACAAAUUUCGAAAUUUACCACUUAAAAAUACUUUAUUCCUAGAAUAUAACUUAAAAAAUGUAUCAUAAGAGAUAUGUAAAGAUCUGGGGUAUUAUUAGGACUGGCAGCAAUGCAUCUGUUUAGUGCAACAAAAGCUGAUAGUGGAGUGGCUGUAUGAACCGUUUUGUUUUUGUUUCAAUAUAAUCGAUAGUUUUCAACUACCAGGAAACUACGCAAAAAAAAACUCCGUAAUCCAUGGAUUCAAAUCACAAAUUGAUUUCAAAACACAUAUGAACAAAGCCCAAAAAUUUUCAGGUCCGUCCUUUAUUUUUUUCUAAAAAAAUAUGGUUAUCGUAAUUAUAAAAAAAAUAUAAAUCUACUCUCUUCAAACAUUUCUGUUCUUUUGCUGGUAGAUAAUAUAAUCCUGAUAGCGCGGACCCGGUACAAAUUGGUUUCCGCAGUCCCACGGGAAACGAGGGCUCACGCAUAUUUCAUAACUCUAGAAAUAGUACGACCGAGACGGCACACAGCUAAAUCCAGCCGCGCUGGUUUCACGAUUUCGUCGAAACAAACCUUGACUACGUCAUAUAAGAAAAAAAAAAAUUGAGAAAGCCGUGCGGCGGCGAGGGUGCUCGAAAGGUUGGUUGCACCUUAACUGAGUCUACCCAACAGUUAUAGGCUUUCAACUAUUUAUUCCGCUGAAAAUAAUUUUAGAAUAUUAUUCGAGAAUGCAGCAAAAUAAAACAACUUUUUUUUCUGGGAGAUUGAAAUCAGCGGCACGGAUUGCGAGAUGCUGGCAGGAUGAACGAUCGUGAUGAGCAAAGAAUAUAAUCCCGAGAAUGAAAGGCGACGGGUUCAGAGUUUUUCGCAAUGAAUCAUCUGCCUCCAGUAAUAAGAUCGCCGUACUAUUUUCCACGAGCACUCGGCGCGUGCGUCCAUCACUCGUGCAAUACACAUACAAGCAUAAAACACACACACACACACACACACACACACACACACACACACACACACACACAUAUCAUACAACGUACACCGUGCAACGAGGACAGCGGAGUGCCAAGGUGACUCUCACUUUUUCUCGAACGACACUGAAUCUCUCGACAGCGAUAGGAUUAUCGACCUCCAACCAGCACCAGAGGAAUUGCUAAUCGAUAACUUUUUCGAAAGGAAAAGGAGAAACGAGGUGAUGGAGACAAAAAUAACCAUCCGUCAAUUUCUGUUUACUUCAGAUUAUAAAAGCACACGUUAAAAAGUGAUAAAUAUUUAUCAUAAAAAUGUUUAGAGGAAAGUCGCGAGUACUGACAUAAACCUCCUAAAAUGGCAUCCACUUAUUUCUUGGAAACUAAACAUUGUAUUGUAUUAAAUGCUGAUAAAAAACAUGGUCCGUUUAGAUAAUUAAAAAAAUAAAAAUAAUUCAUGGCUCUUUUUCUAUACAAAAUCUACUAAAAGAAAAAUGUAACCUAAUUUUGCCUUUACAUGCCUAUAAUCGCGCUUGCGUUACAAUCGUAUUGCGUUUUUCGAAAUAGCUUAAAGUAUUUAAAUAGUCGACAAAGAAAUGUUUUACAUCGAAGUGAAAGGCUUCUAGGAAUCCUCAUGUACAUAAACUUUUUAAAUAUUCUAGUCUGUACAAAUCACUCAUGUUAAAGAAAAAGAAAAAAAUGUAGCCAAUUAUGUCAAUUUUAGAACCCAAUUUUUCAGACGUUCACAUUAUGUUGCAAAAACUUUAAUUAUUAUAAAAUAUAUAACAGUAUUAUAAAAAUUACUAUACCACUUUCUAGUUUACAUUUAUGUUUUUAAAGUUUUAUUUUUAGCUUUUAUUUAAGAAGUGCUAUAUCCAAAAACAAAGUGAAAGGCAACUCAAUAUCGAUAACCUUCCUUAGUAAUUAUUAAAUUUAUUCACACACAGACACACACACACACACACACACAAAUAUAUUACAAAAAUAUAUUACAACACGCAUAUCUAUUUUCUCUAGCACAUAUUUAUAAUAAAAAGUAGAAAGAAAUUCUAUUUACAAAUUCUCCAAAUUAAAAUGCUUCAAAUAAAAUCACACGAAUGGAAAAAAAUUUAAGUUCAAAGCUAAAAAUACUUCAAAUUAAGCUUCAGUAAAUAAAGAACAAAUCCUAUAUUCGUCUUCAUAUCUACAUCACUGUACUCCAUUUGAGCGUCUUUGUUCAGUUUCUAGCCUGUGAAUCAAAAAUGCUAAACAUCAGCAAUCAACAUGAUACGAUACAAACGAUGAGACGCGUUUUGUUGCGCCAGUACUUUGUCCUGCCUUAUCGCGACACGAUUUUAUCGUCGAAAUUUUCCACCGCAUGCAUACACACAUGUACGAGGCACUCGAGAAGGCCCUCCUCGAACCAUAUCGCGCCACGGCCACGCGAGCAGGUUUGGCGUUGCCGUGUCGAAAGAUGCGCGCACACACGAAUUUUCGAUUUGCAGUCACCUGCGACACGAAACAUGAAAGGAGAGAGCGCGAUCGAUUAACCUCGCCGCGCCGAAAGUCAAUUCACGUGCGGACAGGCGCAUCGCAGCGAGAGAGAGAGGAGAGGGUGAGAGGGAGAGAGAGAGAAAGAGAGAGAGAGGGAUGCAGCCACGGGAGACGAUAAUAAAUAGCCGAUGACAGGCAGCCGAUACGGAAUAUGUAUAAAUAUCGCGUCCGCCACGCUAUCGGAGUUAUUGGUACUCAUAUUGAAUUCCAUUGAUGUCACCGCUUCUAUUUCGGAAAGCCUCGUGUCGUUAGGCCACCGUGUACGCUCCACAGACUCUUCCCCCGGUAUUAAUAUACAUUAUAUGACUGCGAGGAGCCUAAGAUAAUUUCCACGUGCUACCGAGAUAGGAAAAAAAACGGAAGCUGUAUUUAAAAAGGGGGGAAAAAACGGAAGCUGUAGGCGGCAUUUAAAAAAAGCUUGAUUUAUAAUAUUUUAAAUAUCAAGCUUUACAUUUCCUUUCUGUUAGUUUAUACAAUUUUAUUUGCAGCAUUUUAAUAUCGAGAAUUUGUAAAUCAAGAAAUUAUUUUUAUUUCUUUUUAUUAAAAAAAAAAAAAAAACAGUUUUUCUGAUUAAAUAACAUCUUCAAAUUCCGCAUAUUAAAUAGAAAUUGUGACAAAAAAUGUACAUCAAAAUUAUUUUUCUCGGACAGAGACUUUUAAUUAAGAUUUAAUUGUUUUCCUAAUCGCCCUUCGAGAGAUUCAUCCCUGAAAAAAUCCGUAGUGUAGUAAUUUCGAUCUCUAAUGUAUAAAAAUAAAUAAAAAGAGUGAGAGAGAAAAAGAGAGUGAGAGAAAGGGGUAAAAAUGCUUGCAUUCAUCGCUCAUCAGCAAUCUCUCGCGUUCUUCUUCGCAAAACUACAUGUACCGAAUGGCGACGACGGAAAAUUUCGAACCUUCCCACUCUCCCAGGGAGGAGCUAUCGACACAAAUACAGCGAAGGAAAAAUACCGAAAGUGCAGCUCGUAACGUUCGUUUGGAUGUCGUUACACACACACCACACACACACACACACACACAUACGCACAUAUCGCUGCACGCAUCGUCUCACUACGCGUCAAGGGCGGGGAGAAAAGUCGCUGUCGAAGGAGACCGGAGAUUCGCGGGGGCAGGCAUUCGCUUUCAAUUUCUAUCUCCCGCGUUUAAAAGCGCUUAGGACAGCCGUGAUUUAUGUAUUUCUCAAUUACACGGAUACCAGAGGGGAUGGUCUCGUCCGCCCGUCGUUACCCUCCUCCGUUCGAGAAGCGAUCGUGGGACGAGAAAAAUAUUUCUAGGGCACACGCGCGCGCGCGCGUAUUAUGUGCGUGCGUGCGUGCGUGCGUGUGUGUGUGUGUGUGGGUGUGUGUGAAAAGAGAAAGGUACAAAUCGGGCAGAGUAAUCGCGAUAAAUUGUACCGAGAUUUAUUUUCCAGCGAUUAAUAUUCGUCAGUCUGACAAUCCGACAGCAAUUACCGGAACGACCGUCUCAGGGAAUUAUGAAUAUUUCGUUGCGUUUUCGAUCUACCAUUCGUUAUGUUGGAUUUUUCUUCGCUUCUCGCGCUUCUGCUUGAUUCAAUGUCAAUUUUCUGAUCGCGACAGAACGCCGCCCCGCGAACUUCCACUCGUCACGAUUAUACCGAUUGACCCUUGGAGCGGCUGCCGGCCGAGACGUUUCAAUUCUACAAAAGAUAACGCACACGUCACACGCGCCCGGGAUGCAACUGCGUCAAACGCGAAACACAAUACCGUUCGCAAGAAGCGGAAUUUACAUUCUAAGCAAAAAAAAAAAAAAAAA
rnacentral:misc_RNA from 1 species